rnacentral:tRNA from 1 species
GGUUCUGUGGUGUAAUGGUUAGCACUCUAGACUCACAUUCAAGAGAUCUGAGUUCAAAUCUCAGUGGAACCU